AUUCGACCUGAGUUCAGACGAGACUACCCGCCGAACUUAAGCAUAUCAAUAAGCGGAGGAAAAGAAACUAACUAGGAUUCCCUUAGUAACGGCGAGUGAAACGGGAUAAGCCCAACUUGAAAA
rnacentral:rRNA from 1 species